rnacentral:lncRNA from 1 species
CAAUUAGGGGUAUAUUAACCCCAGGCUGUGCUAAGGGGCAUUAUUCCCUCCAGGGGAAUCAGUGGGAGUGAAGAGCUCCUCUCUCAUUUUGGUGAAGAGGCUCUUUUAAGUUACUUCAGCCUGCUAAAAGCAGGAGGAUUGCAAUUUCCAGAAGUUCUAGGUCACAUCAAGUGCGAUAUUUCAGAUUCUCUCAGCAGACUCAUAGUAACACAAAAGGGAACCGCCCCCGCAGCAGCUUUCCUUAGCAGCAGAUCGUCCUCUCGCACAGAUUCACUUUGGAGAGAUGCAGACGGUUUGACCUCGUGGCAGAGCAGCUAUCCCAGAUGAUGGGGGUCCCCCUGAGAAGGAAGUAAAGCCAGAUAGCAGCG